CUCUAUACAUUUCGCAAAACGUCAUCUGUCAAAUCUUCUAAAUCCGUCAUUUAUUUGGUGCGUUCCCGAAAGCCGCAGACAUUUAGAUUUUUGCCUUUCCUCUCGUCAAUCCGCGACAAAAAGCAUCCCAAAAUGACUGCCUGGAGAGCUGCUGGUUUGAACUACAUCAACUACUCCAACAUUGCCGCUAAUCUGCUGCGCCGGGCGCUUAAGUCCGAGCUCCGGGAGCAGGCCGCCCGCCGUGAUGUCACUUCCAUCAAGUUUACCAAAUGGGCCAACGGCAAGCCCGAAAAUGAAAAGUAAAUCUUUUCUUUAAUGUGACAUUGAACCUUGUCGGAAGGUUUAGUUGGUUUGCAGUUUCUUACGGGGAAUUAGGUUGCCGCAAACUAAGUCCGGAUUUCUGAAUUAAAGUUCACGAAAUAAAACAGAGUUCAGUAAUAUGGAAAGGUAAACAACA